rnacentral:snRNA from 1 species
AAGUAUUUUUUGUUUUUUGGGGGGGGUUUGUCUAGUUGGUUUUUUUUUUCAAUUAAAAAAAACCCAA